rnacentral:rRNA from 1 species
GACGUAGGGCGCGAGCGGUGUCCGGAUUUAUUGGGCGUAAAGAGCUCGUAGGCGGCUUGUCGCGUCGACUGUGAAAACCCGCAGCUCAACUGCGGGCCUGCAGUCGAUACGGGCAGGCUAGAGUUCGGUAGGGGAGACUGGAAUUCCUGGUGUAGCGGUGAAAUGCGCAGAUAUCAGGAGGAACACCGGUGGCGAAGGCGGGUCUCUGGGCCGAUACUGACGCUGAGGAGCGAAGGCGUGGGGAGCGAACAGG